rnacentral:lncRNA from 1 species
GAGAAGAAGUUUUUAAGUACUGCUAAUUUGGCAAGAAGAUACUCUGUGUGCCCUCAAGGAGCUUGCGAACCAGAGGACUAGAGAAGCACUACACACGAGGAAACUCAUGCAGCAUCCAUUCUCCCAAAGACAUAUUGAGUAAUAUGAAGGUUAAGUCUUUUGGAAGGUCAGAGGAGAAACCCCUGGUGCCUGGAGAGGAAGCACCGUGGGUGAGUAAGCAGGAAGGCUGGCUUCACUGA